GGCAAAGUAUUACAAUGGGUUCUUGACAAAGGCUGGAUAAGACACACUGUAGUUCCUCCAGUGAGGCCAACGGGUUGCGGUGAGAAGGCCGGCUGUGUCCGAUAAUAAGGAGAGAGAAAAGAGCCACCCUUAACCAAUAGGAGACCAAGAUAACCCCAAGAUUCCCCACUGCCCCACGUCAGAGAUCUGCCAUUGGACAAUGAAAACGACGAAUGGAAACAAGUCAAGUUUCCCCCGGCUGCAGUCAGGGAAAUCAGUUUGGGAUUUGCAGAGAAACCGAAACUAAGCCGGGCCGCUACGUCAGAACCUCAUCUGCAGAAGUGGAGUGGAGGGACUUGAUUCAGGAAUAAGAGGCAUGGAUAAUCCCUAAGAAUCUCUCAGCUGUUACAUCCUCCACACAAGAUACAAGGGCACCAGAGCUGCAGUUUGUGAACAGCCUAAUGACAUACCAGUCUUAAAGGAUUAUGCUUGGGCUUAAAUAUGGCAUAUUUGUCUAAAUUAAAUGACG